rnacentral:rRNA from 1 species
CUUCGGGAGGACGCUCACCACUUUGUGGUUCAUGACUGGGGUGAAGUCGUAACAAGGUAGCCCUAGGGGAACCUGGGGCUGGAUCACCUCCUUACCU